rnacentral:rRNA from 1 species
CCUACGGGAGUCUGCAGUGAGGAAUAUUGGUCAAUGGACGAGAGUCUGAACCAGCCAAGUAGCGUGAAGGAUGACUGCCCUAUGUGUUGUAAACUUCUUUUAUAUGGGAAUAAAAUGUUCCACGUGUGGGAUUUUGUAUGUACCAUAUGAAUAAGGAUCGGCUAACUCCGUGCCAGCAGCCGCGGUAAUACGGAGGAUCCGAGCGUUAUCCGGAUUUAUUGGGUUUAAAGGGAGCGUAGGUGGAUUGUUAAGUCAGUUGUGAAAGUUUGCGGCUCAACCGUAAAAUUGCAGUUGAAACUGGCAGUCUUGAGUAAAGUAGAGGUGGGCGGAAUUCGUGGUGUAGCGGUGAAAUGCUUAGAUAUCACGAAGAACUCCGAUUGCGAAGGCAGUUCACUGGACUGCAACUGACACUGAGGCUCGAAAGUGUGGGUAUCAAACAGGAUUAGAUACCCGAGUAGUC